CAAUAGCGCAUAUUAACGUUGUUGCAGUUAAAAAGCUCGUAGUUGGAUUUCUGGAGGGAGCGUCGGCCCGUAUUUACGAGUGCGUGACGUCUCUGUCCAUCCUUGCGGGAAGGCACGGCAUUGAUUUGUUGUGUCGGAUCGCAUCAUUUACUGUGAAAAAAUUAGAGUGUUCAAAGCAGGCUUUCGCUUGAAUACAUUAGCAUGGAAUAAUAAGAUAGGACUUUGGUGCUAUUUUGUUGGUUGAGCCUAAAGUAAUGAUUAAUAGGGAUAGUUGGGGGCACCUGUAUUGCGUUGUCAGAGGUGAAAUUCUUGGAUUUACGCAAGACAAACAGCUGCGAAAGCGUCUGCCAAGGAUGUUUUCAUUAAC
rnacentral:rRNA from 1 species